UACAGAGGUCCCAAGCGUUGUUCGGAUUCACUGGGCGUAAAGGGUGCGUAGGUGGUGAGGUAAGUCGGAUGUGAAAUCUCCGAGCUCAACUCGGAAACUGCAUUGGAAACUACCUUGCUCGAGGGUUGGAGGGGGGACUGGAAUGCUUGGUGUAGCAGUGAAAUGCGUAGAUAUCGAGAGGAACACCAGCGGCGAAGGCGGGUUGCUGGGCUGACACUGACGCUGAUGCGCGAAAGCUAGGGGAGCGAACGGG
rnacentral:rRNA from 1 species